rnacentral:rRNA from 1 species
AUGCACAUGAAGAUGGUCAAGCCACCAAGUCCACGGAAGAAGAGACCCAACGGAAGAAGGCAACGACAGCUUCCAGGCACCGGACAUCCGGCCAUGGCCCCGGACAUCCGGCCCCUAGAGAUCUACCCCUUAGCCAUGGGUCUGCAGCAGAAGCUACAGGGCCCAGACAUUCGGCCCUCCACACCAAACAUUCGGCCUCCAGCCCGGACAUGCGGACACGCCAUCCAGGGAGCACAGAAGGCUGCCCCGACGGCCCGGACAUCCGGCCAUCACCCCAGACAUCCGGCUCCUCCCGAAUCCCCAGACAUCCAGCCCCUCCGCCCGGACAUCUGGCCCCGUCUAUCCAGAGAGCAGCAAGGCUGA